CUUGGUUGAUCCUGCCAAUAGUCAUAUGCUUGUCUCAAAGAUUAAGACAUGCAUGUGUAAGUAUGAAUUAAUUCAAACUGUGAAACUACAAAUGACUCAUUAAAUCAGUUAUAUUUUGUUUGAUGGUACCUGCUACUCAGAUAACCGUAGAAAUUCUAGAGCUAAUAUGUGCAAUAAACCCUGACUUCUAGAAGGGAUGCAUUUAUUAGAUAAAAGGCUGACACGGGCUUUGCUCACUACUUUGUUGAUUCAAGAUAACUCGACGGAUCGCACGACUAUCAUGCCAGCAACGCAUCAUUCAAAUUUCUGCCCUAUCAACUUCCGAUGGUAGGAUAGUGGCCUACUAUAGUGGUAACGGGUGACAGAGAAUUAGGGUUCGAUUCCGAAUAGGGAGCCUGAGAAACGGCAACCACAUCCAAGGAAGGUAGCAGGCACGCAAAUUAUCCAAUCCUAACACGGGGAGAUAGUGACAAUAAAUAACAAUACCAGGCUUUCACAAGUCUGGUAAUUGGAAUGAGUACAAUCUAAAUCCCUUAACGAGGAUCCAUUGGAGGGCAAGUCUGGUGCCAGCAGCUGCCGUAAUUCCAUUUCCAAUAGUGUAUAUUUAAGUUGUUGCAGUUAAAAAGCUCGUAGUUGAACCUUGGGUUGGGUAGAGCUGUCUGCCCCUUGUGUGCACCAAUAUGCUCGUCCCUUCUACCAGCAAUGCACUCCUGGAAUUAAUUGGCCAAGUCGUGUCUCCGGUGCUGUUACUUUGAAGAAAUUAGAUUGCUCAAAGCAAGCCUACGCUCUAGAUACAUAAGCAUGGGAUAACAUCAUAUGAUUAUUUUUGGCCGAGUCGUGUCUUCGGUGCACCGCAUGCGUUUCACUAGCUAAUUGUUUUCAUGCUUUGUUAUAAUUGUAGUCAUAUUGCCCAUAACAUUAUUGUUUUCUAUUGCCAAUCUUUCGAAAUACUCUAGUUUGGGUUGGGUAGGAACAGUCUGUAACAACCAGUCAGUUUUUCUUGUUCAUGAUUUCAUUUAUUGGUGUUAUUGGAUAUAUGAAAGACAAACAAUUGCGAAAGUAUUUGCUAAUGAUGUUUUCAUUAAUCAAGAACAAAAGUUGGAGGCUCGAAGACGAUCAGAUACCGUCCUAGUCUCAACCAUAAAUGAUGCUGACCAGGGAUCGGCAGAUGUUAGUUAUAGGACUCCGUUAACACCUUAUGAGAAAUCAAAGUCUUUGGGUUUUGAGGGGAGUAUGGUCGCAAGGCUAAACUUAAAGGAAUUGACGGAAGGGCACCACCAAGAAUGGAGCCUGCAGCUUAAUUUGACUCAACACUGGGAAACUUACCAGGUCCAGACAUAGUAAGGAUUGACAAAUUGAGAGUUCUUUCUUUAUUCUAUGAGUGGCGGUGCAUGGCCGUUCUUAGUUAGUGGAGUGAUUUGUUUGGUUAAUUCCGUUAACGAACAAGACCUUAGCUUGCUAACUAGCUAUGCGGAGGUGACCCUCCGCGACUAGCUUCUUAAAGGGACUAUGGCCGCUUAAGCCAAGGAAGUUUGAGGCAAUAACAGGUCUGUGAUGCCCUUAAAUGUUCUGUAAUUCUUAAGAAUACGUGAAGAAAAUUUUUGAGAUGUUAAAAUUUAGUGGGAGUAUUUUAGACAUUAC
rnacentral:rRNA from 1 species